rnacentral:rRNA from 1 species
AACGAACGCUGGCGGCAUGCCUAACACAUGCAAGUCGAACGAGACCUUCGGGUCUAGUGGCGCACGGGUGCGUAACGCGUGGGAACCUGCCCUUAGGUUCGGAAUAACUCCCCGAAAGGGGUGCUAAUACCGGAUAAUGUCUUCGGACCAAAGAUUUAUCGCCUUUGGAUGGGCCCGCGUUGGAUUAGCUAGUUGGUAGGGUAAAAGCCUACCAAGGCGACGAUCCAUAGCUGGUCUGAGAGGAUGAUCAGCCACACUGGGACUGAGACACGGCCCAGACUCCUACGGGAGGCAGCAGUGGGGAAUAUUGGACAAUGGGCGAAAGCCUGAUCCAGCUAUGCCUCGUGAGUGAUGAAGUCCUUAGGGUUGUAAAGCUCUUUUACCCGGGAUGAUAAUGACAGUACCGGGAGAAUAAGCUCCGGCUAACUCCGUG